rnacentral:lncRNA from 1 species
AAAGAAAAGAUAUGCAAUGGUAAUAGAUGUUGUAUCAAAGACCAUAUAGCACUACCAAACUCUGCCGCUUCUGGGGCUAAGGAAUAAAGCCUAUUUAUGCACUAUGAAAAUCCUUCAGGUAUGUGUACUCUUGCUCAACUUUGUGAGUUUUUAAUCAGUGUUUCGCGUCUUCGUCAUCACAAAAAUUGGAAUAUUAGUCAAGGUCCAUCAAUGAAUUGAGCUCGUCGGGUUUGGGAAGAAAAGAAAAGGAAGAAAGGGUAAAAAUAUCUUUUCAUUAAUUUUAAUAAAAUAGUGACUAUUUUUACUCGACAAUAAAAUCGCUCGAUAAAAAAUAAAUACCAUACUAAAUAGUAGCUACACACCAUUUUUACCCAAUUUUGGAUUAUUUUUCUUUUUCUGAAAUUGCAAAAGAUAUGGACAACUUUUGUUUUUUCAGGUCCUUAUUCGUCACAUAGGAUUUCGAAUGACUUGUAACUUUGCAUUCUUAACGUUCUAUUUUGUUGUCUCUAUACCGGGUUUAUAUGGGUAAAAAUAUAAUUCUAAUAGAUUUUUUGGGGUAAAACCAGUAAGGAAAUCGAAUGAAUUCAUUUCCGAAUCAAUAACAUAUUGUCAUAUAGGAUAUAUA